CGCGGUGGUCCCACCUGACCCCAUGCCGAACUCAGCAGUGAAACGCCGUAGCGCCGAUGGUAGUGUGGGGUCUCCCCAUGUGAGAGUAGGGA
rnacentral:rRNA from 1 species